rnacentral:SRP_RNA from 1 species
GCCAGGUAUGGUGUUGCAUACCUGUAUUCCCAGCUACUCGGGAGGCUGAGGUGGGAGGAUCACUUGAGCCCAGAAGUUCAAGGCUGUAGUGAGCUGUGAUCAUGCCACUGCACUCCAGUCUGGGUGACAGAGCAUGAUCCUGCCUCUU